rnacentral:rRNA from 1 species
ACGCUCGACACCUACGGGAGCAGCAGUGGGGAAUAUUGCACAAUGGGGGAAACCCUGAUGCAGCGACGCCGCGUGGAGGAAGAAGGUCUUCGGAUUGUAAACUCCUGUUGUUGGGGAAAAGGAGGAUGGUACCCAACAAGGAAGUGACGGCUAACUACGUGCCAGCAGCUGCGGUAAUCUGAGGCGGGCUGGACAAGGC